UCUGCACAAGUUAGUGGUUACUUGGGCAUGGUUGCUCUCUCAUUUCAGAGUCUCCUUUUGAAGUGGUUCAAAGGUAGAGAGCACUUUAGGAGAAUGGUGUGUUUUAAAACCUGGCUGGCAUUUACAAUGUUCUGCUCUGUUCUUCUCUGCAUUAGCUAUAAGAUAGUGGGCUUUAGUUUGCAGUAGAGAUCUUGUGGCUCAGGAGCCUGAAGAGUUUACUACUCAGCUCUGUGAAUCUUCUUUAAGAUGAUCUUUGAGAAUACCUUUCCAUGUCGUCCUUAAAGCAAGCUAUUGUCAUCCAUUGCUAGCAUUCAGAUUCUCAAGACAAGUAUGUCAUGAGAAAUGAACCUGCAAAGACUACCUGCUUUCUUACCACACUCAUUUCUCCUCACCACUUGUGCCUGCUGAAGUCUCUCCUCAAUCCUCUGCCAAGUGACUACUUGUUGUCUGGAAACUUCUGAGGACACUGGGGAAUCUGGUGGUAACAUGGGCAAGGCACAAGAAGUUAAGGACAGUUUCUGACCUCAAAUCAGAUUUUACCAUUUUAGGGAUGUAACCUUGAAUGGAUGGUGGUGUUUUAAUUUCUUCCGCUGAACAACUUCAGAAGAUGCAGAGUGAGUUUUGAUGGGAAAGAGACUCUUCAUGGGCUACUCUAGAACAAACAAUGGAAACGGAUCACAGGAAAGAAUGAAGGACAUGGUUCAUGUCUGAUUCAGACAGGAACAUGCUGUCCUCUGAGAGACUCCAUUCAGCAGCUGACUCAGAUGCAGACACCCACAACUAAACAGUGGAUGGAGCUUGGGGACUCUUACGGAAAAAUAGGAGGAAGGAUUCUGGGCCUAGAAGGAGAUAGGAACUCCACAGGAAGACCAGAGCCAACUAACAUGGACUGCUGGGGAUCUCAGAACAUAUAUGACCUGGACCUACACUUCCCUGCACCUAUGUAGCCGAUGUGCAGCUUGGUCUUCUUGUGGGUCCCGAAACAACUGGAGCAGGGACUAUCCCAAAAGCUGUUGCUUGUAUGUCGGAUAUCUUCUACCAGCUGGGCUGCCUUGUCUGUUCUCAGUGGGAGAGGAAGCAGAGACUUGAAGUGCUGGGUUUGGGGGUCUGUGUGAUACCCAGAGGUCCCCCACCAGCUCAGAGAAGAAUGGGGGAAUGGAGGAAGGGUUGUGAGAGAGGAUGACUAGAAGGAGGGUAGUAAGCAGGUUGUAAAGUGAAUAAGAAAAAAAAAGAAUUAAAUUAAAACAAA
rnacentral:lncRNA from 1 species